UAAGGAGGAUGAUGAGACACGGAAUUAAUUUCCGAGGAAAGUCCGAACUCCACGAAGGAGAAUAGGAAAGUUAAUGACUUUUGAAGUAAUUCAAGGAAAGUACCACAGAAAUAUACCGCCAGUGAAUUCUGGUAAGGGUGAAAAAGUGAGGUAAGAGCUUACUAAAAUUAAGUAUUUAUUAAGGUAAACCCCCUAUGGAGCAAGUUAUAAAUUCUCUUAAGGUCCUCGCUUGAGAAUUGGUGAACGCAGAAAUCUUACAGUAAUGUAAGAUUAAGAUAGAUGUCUCUUAAAACAGAAUUCGGCUUACUUCUCCUUAUUUA
rnacentral:RNase_P_RNA from 1 species